UUCUGUUUCUUUGUUGCCUUCCAUGCAUCGCUUCAUGGUUUUGAGCAUGGAUGCAGGUCACUCCUUUUCCUUGAUGCAGUAUCUCCAAAACCGAAUUAAGAAGUGGAAGUUACUGACUGCUACUUCAGUUGACGGAGAAGGCGAUGUGUUCGCAGUUGUAUUCACUGUAGUGCACGACAAGAACCGUGAAAAUUGGCACUGGUUUCUUCAGCAACUAAAAUCUUCACGAUGCAAUUGGACGAUUCGUGGGCUGAAGAAGUAAGAGAUGCCAAGGUUGUAUUUUGGGAACAGUCAGUGAAUCAGCUGGUCAGGCUGAUGAUGGCUGAUGCGCCGGAGCAGAUCGGCAAGGCUGUGGAGAGGACGAACUACAGUCCUGCCAACACUAUGCAGGCAAGUAAGCCUUCAUCCUUAUAUUUCCUGCUCUGUGUUAUACUGUUAUAGGUCGUCGAAUUCAUCAAGAAAGCCCCAAAAAUUGGCUUAUGUCUGAUGUGUAUAACAAAAAAUAACUAUGCAGUUCUGUAAGUCUACCAUCAAUAAUAUUCUUGGCCGGAACAGUUCGUUGAAUCCAGCAAGAAAGCUCCACAAAGCAUCUUAUGUCUGAUGUAUAACAAAAAAUGGCUAAUUAGUUUUUUAGGUCUAUCAGCAAUAACAUUCUUGGCCGGAUUAUGGGCUGAAGGAAGGGAAGGAGAUAUGAUCUGCAUCGCCUUAGGCGAUAACACAAAAUCCCUGCAAUAGGCUACCAUCCCUGCAUCAUCAACUCAAGCACCGGAUGAGUACACUUUCAUGCCUGCAUGUUUACAUGAGGCUGUACAUAUUUUUUUUUCAUGUUACCUUAUCUAAUAGUAGUAAUUGCAGUAUUACACAAUGAGAUUAGUUGAUUUUUCUCAUAGAGUGGAUUUGGAUGUGGUGUGUUGUUUCUUCAAAAUACAUGCUAAAUCUCAUAUUAUCUUCAACGUAUAUCUAACCUUCUGCCUCUGAGCAUUAGGCAAAGGCAUGAUGCGUAGCUUCUGAAUAUUCUAUACGCUUGAAAUUUUAGCAUACACAAUCUUCCUAGAUCUCUUGACUCAAUGUCAGUACCCUGUAUAAUGGUUCCUCAGUAAAUCCUUUGGUCAGAAGUUACAACUGUAGAAUCAGUGUAGGUCGAUUUUGCACACAUAAUAAGUACACACAUAAUCAAAUAAGUGUAGGUCGAUUUUGCAAUGUAUAGCACUAGGAUUUUGUCUACGAGCACGAUAUCUGCGUAAAUAAUCCAAUUGUUAAAAGAAAAUACAAUAUUCAGUCAUGCAUUAUUGUUGUUGAGAAUGCUGAAAAACAUAGUUUCACGGGAUUUUGUACCUCCAAGUAAAGUGACCUGUCUCCCCGUGUUCCUAAGCCAGCCAAUGCAAUACACUGAAGGCUUAACCUGUAAAUGGAGGUCUCGAACAGUUAACCAUCUGCGAGACAGCAAAGUAAUUCAAUGUUGGAAGACUCUAUUACAUACAUAAUACAUGUAGUUGUGUGGAUACAGAAACAUUUUGGCACCACCCACAAAGUCUAGUUCCACGGACGGGAAAGCAGAGUCAAUACUGCAAUAUGCACAAACAAUGAAGGUGUAAGUUAUUUUGAUAGAUGUUGCUUUGUUUCCAUAAUGAAAGGAAAAUACCUGGUGGAAGUGGCAAAACAAAUUUCGCCAUUUUCCCCGGUGAACGGAAGUUCAGACGGAGGGGUUGCAACCCUUAUCUGUGAACAGAAAUCAUAAGACUUUUUUUCUUGCAUCUAAAGUAAAUUAGGUAGAUCACGUGUUGCUUGUUGUAGCUAACAAAAAGAUGAAUAUAUCAUGUGAUCUUACUGCACUAAUAAACGGCUCAUAUGCUCCAUCUGCUAGAUACGCGAGCGUGGUUCCCGAAUCGACGAAGGUAAAAUUACUCGGUGAGGGUCCAAACACUGAGCUUUCAAUGGGGAGUGUCUGCCCAUUUACAGCUAUGCUCUGUAGAUUCACUUGGUAAUAUUGCCUGCAUUUCAUCAAGAUAGUUAGGAUGGUGCACUUGAGACAGAGUAUAGUAGUUUCCAUGGAAAUUUAGAUAAAUUAACAUUAUCUACGAGUUAAUUUAAAUAUGCAAGAUGUCUUAGCUGGGACAGGAAAGCGUUGAUAGUAAGACGACAUUCUUGAUACCCCAAACUCUCUAAAGGGGGUGUGAGCCUACUGCUAUGACUGCUAUACACUCCGCCUCACCAUUUUCUGGGCAGCUUUAGUUAGUGCUCUACGAAAUUGCAAAUAUACGAGUUUAAGGAUGUAGUUGCACUAGAAAAUCAACAUUAAGCUGAUAACUUUGACAACACACUAGACAUAAGCACUCAUAUACUACAUCUCUGAAGCAUAUGAUGAACAGAAAUACUAAUCAAUUCUAACUAGAACCAAAAUAGCACGACAAAAAUUACAUGUUGAGUUUUUGUGCAGAAGGUAAUGAAGCGUGGAAAAUAGUAGCAGCAUCUAAAGUUGAAUGGACUGGAGUGGUAGACCAUCUUUCAUUUGGGUCAUUUGAAUCUUUCCAUAUAGAAUGUGUUAUCUGUUUUGUUUUGUACCUGCCUAACAAACCAGACAACAAUAACUCUCUGCAAAAAACAAACAAAAAAACAAUAACAACAGAUCAUAUUCCAUUUAGUUGUUUGACAAUGCAAAUUACUUCUACUUGCUUAUUAUUAUAAUGCUUAAGCAUCCUUCUUUGUUUCUUUGCUAGCUCUAAUGUUCCAAGUCUGCCUUUUGGGCUUCCACCUUAAAGUUGCCAGCUAUUGAACCGUGAGGGAAGCUGGACAUUCUAGUGCUUUUGGCAGUUUUAAGGGUGUUAAUAUUCUUCAAGCCAGUGAUUCUCUAAUUAGCACGCUACAGAAGGACUGCUGAAUGCGCUUAUGAAUGAUGCAGAGAAAACUAAACUCUGAGAAUCGAGGGCUUGGACAGACUUGAAGCCUUCUACUAUUCCAGUUGGCACUGUCUAUCAUUAAGCAGUUAACUUCUGCUUUAUUUUACACCUAUAUAUUGUCAAUUUAUCCGGAAACCUGGGAUCAAACAAUGAAAUUGGCUUUGCAACGAAGGACAAAUCUGUCAUUGUGGGUUUCUACA